AAAUUCUUAUUUUCUAUAUUUUUGCCUAAAGUAGGUACUCCUAAAAUCUUUAGAAAUAUAUUCUGCAUCAAUAAGAGUCCCCCUAGUUGAGAACAAUAUACAUAAAUAAUAGGAAGCUGAAAUUUUGCGACAUCAAAAUGAUUUCCACACGAAUCUCCACAAACUCUGCCUAGGUAUCACUUAUGUUUUAACUAAAAUAGUAUCAGUGUAUCACUCUACUAUGAGUCCACAUACUUGUCCACUCUCAUCCCAUUGUGAAGUGUAGAAAGAGAUGAUUCUUAUU
rnacentral:misc_RNA from 1 species